UACGUAGGUGGCGAGCGUUGUCCGGAAUUACUGGGUGUAAAGGGUACGUAGGCGGUCCAUCAAGUCAGAUGUGAAAGCCCGGAGCUCAACUCCGGGAUUGCAUUUGAAACUAGUGGACUAGAGUGCAGGAGAGGAAAGUGGAAUUCCUAGUGUAGCGGUGAAAUGCGUAGAUAUUAGGAAGAACACCAGUGGCGAAGGCGGCUUUCUGGACUGUAACUGACGCUGAGGUACGAAAGCGUGGGGAG
rnacentral:rRNA from 1 species